UACGGGGGGGGCAAGCGUUGUUCGGAAUUACUGGGCGUACAGGGUUCGUAGGUGGCUUGCUAAGUCAGACGUGAAAUCCCUCAGCUCAACUGGGGAACUGCGUCUGAGACUGGCGAGCUUCAGUGCAGGAGAGGAAUGCGGAAUUCCAGGUGUAGCGGUGAAAUGCGUAGAGAUCGGGAGGAACACCGGUGGCGAAGGCGGCGUUCUGGACUGCAACUGACACUGAGGAACGAAAGCCAGGGGAGCAAACGGG
rnacentral:rRNA from 1 species